GGGGAGAAGACGAGGGCGGGCAGGGCGAGGCGGAGCUGCCGCGACAUGGCGGUUCCGCGCGAGGCGGAUUGCCGGCCAGAGGCCGUUACCCGCCGGUAAUGGUGCCUCGCACAGAGGCCGCCCUUCACAGGGGUGUGACAGGCAUUAACCGCCCCCAAGACCGUCUCCUGGCGGGCUCCGGUCCCGGCGUGAAGGGCGGGAGUUGGCGGCGGCGGCGGCCCCCUGGCGCCUGUCCCGUCGCUGUGCUGCGUUUGGCCCCGCCGGGGUGGAGACGGGUGGCUGAAAACAUGUAUUUCGUUCACAUGUGGCCAGUUCUUCUUGGGAUUUCUUACUAAAGGGGUCAGCUUUUCCCACUCUCAAGAAUAAAACAGACUUUCACUAGACCUCCCAGAUCAAGAUGAUAUGUAAAUGUUAUAGAUGCUGUUCGGGUGCUUUUCCCCCAUCCUACCAUCUGAAUGGGCACAAUUCCCUAGUAACACAAAACUAACCUGCACUCCCCCAGUAUUUGGGAAGCUGCAUAAUAACAUACAGAAACUUUGAUUCCACUGGAUUUUUGCUACACCUUGGAGAGAAAAUAAACAGAAAAUUCCUUAAGUUCAAACUGAAUUCCUUUAGCAGUCCCUUUUCCCCACUGAUUGGCACAAGACAAAAACUGUUCUAGACCUCCCUACCUGGAAUUGUUUAGUGUACGGUAGUGAUUGUUCUUCCAAAUGGAUUUCAGCACAUGUGAUGGAAGGAAUUUUUCUUUCCUUUUAUCUUACCUCCUUUGAUGUGAAAACUACCCCCCUGCUGUGAGUUACAACAGGGCAGUUAACCAUUACAAAAAGAGCAAUUUCAGGGUGAGGGAAGUCAAAUACGCUACUGUUAUUGGUUAACGGUUAAAUUUCUCUGCUUGCUGCUGGUUUUCUUCUAACUAAUAAAGGGGAGAUCCAAGCA